CCUACGGGUGGCAGCAGUGGGGAAUAUUGCACAAUGGGGGGAACCCUGAUGCAGCGACGCCGCGUGGGUGAAGGAGUACUUCGGUACGUAAAGCCCUAUCAGCAGGAAAGAAAAUGGCGGUACCUGACUAAGAAGCCCCGGCUAACUACGUGCCAGCAGCCGCGGUAAUACGUAGGGGGCAAGCGUUAUCCGGAUUUACUGGGUGUAAAGGGAGCGUAGGCGGCAGUGCAAGUCCGGAGUGAAAGCCCGGGGCUCAACCGUGGGACUGCUGGGGAAACUGUAAAGCUGGAGUGGGGGAGGGGCAGGCGGAAUCGGGGGGGUAGGGGUGAAAGGCGGAGA
rnacentral:rRNA from 1 species